rnacentral:rRNA from 1 species
GUUCCAGCAGCCGCGGUAAGACAGAGGGGGCAAGCGUUGCUCGGAAUUACUGGGCGUAAAGGGCGCGUAGGCGGGACGGCAAGUCGGUCGUGAAAUCCCUCGGCUCAACUGAGGAACGUCGAUCGAUACUGCCGUCCUUGAGGGUUGCAGAGGAGACUGGAAUUCCCGGUGUAGCGGUGAAAUGUGUAGAGAUCGGGAGGAACACCGGUGGCGAAGGCGGGUCUCUGGGCAACUCCUGACGCUGAGGCGCGAAAGCGUGGGGAGCAAACGGGAUUAGAUACCCCUGUAGUCC